rnacentral:rRNA from 1 species
AUUGAACGCUGGCGGCAUGCCUUACACAUGCAAGUCGAACGGUAACGCGGGGCAACCUGGCGACGAGUGGCGAACGGGUGAGUAAUGCAUCGGAACGUGCCCAGAAGUGGGGGAUAGCCCGGCGAAAGCCGGAUUAAUACCGCAUGAGACCUGAGGGUGAAAGCGGGGGAUCGCAAGACCUCGCGCUUUUGGAGCGGCCGAUGUCAGAUUAGGUAGUUGGUGGGGUAAAGGCCUACCAAGCCGACGAUCUGUAGCUGGUCUGAGAGGACGACCAGCCACACUGGGACUGAGACACGGCCCAGACUCCUACGGGAGGCAGCAGUGGGGAAUUUUGGACAAUGGGCGCAAGCCUGAUCCAGCCAUGCCGCGUGCGGGAAGAAGGCCUUCGGGUUGUAAACCGCUUUUGUCGGGGAAGAAAAGCCUUGGGUUAAUACCCUGGGGUGAUGACGGUACCCGAAGAAUAAGCACCGGCUAACUACGUGCCAGCAGCCGCGGUAA